GGAUCAUUACCGAGUGAGGGCCCUCUGGGUCCAACCUCCCACCCGUGUUUAUUUUACCUUGUUGCUUCGGCGGGCCCGCCUUAACUGGCCGCCGGGGGGCUUACGCCCCCGGGCCCGCGCCCGCCGAAGACACCCUCGAACUCUGUCUGAAGAUUGUAGUCUGAGUGAAAAUAUAAAUUAUUUAAAACUUUCAACAACGGAUCUCUUGGUUCCGGCAUCGAUGAAGAACGCAGCGAAAUGCGAUACGUAAUGUGAAUUGCAAAUUCAGUGAAUCAUCGAGUCUUUGAACGCACAUUGCGCCCCCUGGUAUUCCGGGGGGCAUGCCUGUCCGAGCGUCAUUGCUGCCCUCAAGCACGGCUUGUGUGUUGGGCCCCGUCCUCCGAUCCCGGGGGACGGGCCCGAAAGGCAGCGGCGGCACCGCGUCCGGUCCUCGAGCGUAUGGGGCUUUGUCACCCGCUCUGUAGGCCCGGCCGGCGCUUGCCGAUCAACCCAAAUUUUUAUCCAGGUUGACCUCGGAUCAGGUAGGGAUACCCGCUGAACUUAAGCAUAU
rnacentral:rRNA from 1 species